rnacentral:rRNA from 1 species
UAAGGAAUAUUGGACAAUGGGCGCAAGCCUGAUCCAGCCAUGCCGCGUGCAGGAUGAAAGUGCUAUGCACUGUAAACUGCUUUUGUUUGGGAAAAAAACCCCUGGUUUCUACCGGGGCUGAUUGUACCAAAAGAAUAAGGGACGGCUAACUUCGUGCCAGCAGCCGCGGUAAUACGAAGGUCCCAAGCGUUAUCCGGAUUUAUUGGGUUUAAAGGGUGCGUAGGCGGGCUAUUAAGUCAGUGGUGAAAGCCCCAAGCUUAACUUGGGAACUGCCAUUGAUACUGAUGGUCUUGAGUACAUUUGAGGUGGGCGGAAUGUGUCAUGUAGCGGUGAAAUGCUUAGAUAUGACACAGAACACCGAUUGCGAAGGCAGCUCACUAAACUGUAACUGACGCUGAGGCACGAAAGCGUGGGGAGCAAACAG